UACGUAGGGCGCAAGCGUUGUCCGGAAUUAUUGGGCGUAAAGAGCGUGUAGGCGGCCAGAUAGGUCCGUUGUGAAACUGGAGGCUUAACCUCCAGCGGUCGAUGGAAACCAUUUGGCUAGGAGUCCGGAAGAGGAGAGUGGAAUUCCGUGGUGUAGCGGUGAAUGCGCAGAUAUCAGGAAGAACACCCGUGGCGAAGGCGGCUCUCUGGGACGGUACUGACGCUGAGACGCGAAAGCGUGGGGAGCGAACAGG
rnacentral:rRNA from 1 species